rnacentral:rRNA from 1 species
AGGAUGAACGCUGGCGGCGUGCCUAACACAUGCAAGUCGAGCGAAGCGCUUUACUUGAAUUCUUCGGAAGGAAAGUAUUGUGACUGAGCGGCGGACGGGUGAGUAACGCGUGGGUAACCUGCCUCAUACAGGGGGAUAACAGUUAGAAAUGACUGCUAAUACCGCAUAAGACCACAGCACCGCAUGGUGCGGGGGUAAAAACUCCGGUGGUAUGAGAUGGACCCGCGUCUGAUUAGCUAGUUGGUAAGGUAAGGGCUUACCAAGGCGACGAUCAGUAGCCGACCUGAGAGGGUGACCGGCCACAUUGGGACUGAGACACGGCCCAAACUCCUACGGGAGGCAGCAGUGGGGAAUAUUGCACAAUGGGGGAAACCCUGAUGCAGCGACGCCGCGUGAGUGAUGAAGUAUUUCGGUAUGUAAAGCUCUAUCAGCAGGGAAGAAAAUGACGGUACCUGACUAAGAAGCACCGGCUAAAUACGUGCCAGCAGCCGCGGUAAUACGUAUGGUGCAAGCGUUAUCCGGAUUUACUGGGUGUAAAGGGAGCGUAGACGGAGAGGCAAGUCUGAUGUGAAAACCCGGGGCUCAACCCCGGGACUGCAUUGGAAACUGUUUUUCUAGAGUGUCGGAGAGGCAAGUGGAAUUCCUAGUGUAGCGGUGAAAUGCGUAGAUAUUAGGAGGAACACCAGUGGCGAAGGCGGCUUGCUGGACGAUGACUGACGUUGAGGCUCGAAAGCGUGGGGAGCAAACAGGAUUAGAUACCCUGGUAGUCCACGCCGUAAACGAUGACUACUAGGUGUCGGGUGGCAAAGCCAUUCGGUGCCGCAGCAAACGCAAUAAGUA